UACGUAGGGUGCAAGCGUUGUCCGGAAUUAUUGGGCGUAAAGAGCUCGUAGGCGGUCUGUUGCGUCGGCUGUGAAAACCCGAGGCUCAACCUCGGGCCUGCAGCCGAUACGGGCAGACUAGAGUUCGGCAGGGGAGACUGGAAUUCCUGGUGUAGCGGUGAAAUGCGCAGAUAUCAGGAGGGAACACCGGUGGCGAAGGCGGGUCUCUGGGC
rnacentral:rRNA from 1 species